ensembl:lncRNA
AGAAAUCAGUCCUACAGCACACACGUAGCAGCUGUGGCUGCACAGUUGGAGGAUGGCUGUUUGCAACCUGAAAUGAGACAUAGGCCAGCCUGGCAGGAAAGUUCAGGAGUGCCUGAGAUAAGGAUGUACUGUGGGCCCACAUCGAAGUCCUUGCAGAAGUCCAGGCAGAUGACAUCAGUUGCCUUCCCUUUGUCCAAUGAUGCCCUCACUCCAACACAGAAGGUCAUCAGGAGGAUCUGUGCUCCAUGAUUUUCCCAGGCAGAGAGACUUCUCUCAGCCUUCUGUUUCCAAACUAAGAUAUCCCUCGCUUCACAAUCACACCUUAUUCACAUCAUCACCCUCUGACAGUAAGUACCCAUUUUCAUGGAUGAAGCAGAGGAAGAAUAAAAUCUCAUCAAAAAUCUCUGACAGUCACCAUGAAAACUCGGUAAGAAUUGCAGCUGCUGCCAUCGAGCCAGCCUGAUGUGUUAGUUUCAUAAAAACACAGUCAUAUAUCCCACUGGUUUUAUGGUUUGUUAACCCCUUUUUUUCUGCAGGACAUUGUUUUUGGUGCAAUUGAUGUAUAUGCAGCCCAAGUCCUCUUCACUCAGUGCAACCCAGGCAAGCCAGCAAGUUGGGCAGCCAUGGGUUACUGCAAGCACAUUUCUGCCAAAGGAGCACAAGAUGGCACCUACCAAUCAUACAUCAAACCUGUUCUCACUCCUCACAGAGCCCACGGAGAUGAGAUUUCUGCCCAACACUUGGUAUUCAGAGCCUGCACCUUCUCAGUGAAGUUAGGACAUGCUUUUGCACGCAGAUUGAUUAAUAACUCUUGCUUAUACAUAGAGACAAAACAAAGCAAAAUUUAUCAUAUAGAAACACACUAAGAAAGCAUUAUAAUAGCACUAACUUAUCAAAAUCUCCAUCACUGUCUGUAUCAAUAUGAGCUGGCUAUGACUGAGAUAUGGAAAGUGUCCAUAAUGCUGCUGGGAGCAAAGAAAUUCUGAAAACAAAGACUGUUUUAUGGCGCUAAAGCACAACCACUUGGUGGUGGGAAUUUCAUAGCUAACUCCAUACAUUGGCACACGCUGUUCAGGUGAGCUCUGUCUAACGAUUCCAGCCACUACUUUUACUCUGAAAGCAUAGGAAAAUGGACAAUUCCCAAAGUACAAUAAAUUCUUUGUCAC